GACGAACGCUGGCGGCGUGCUUAACACAUGCAAGUCGAACGGAAAGGCCCUGCUUUUGUGGGGUGCUCGAGUGGCGAACGGGUGAGUAACACGUGAGUAACCUGCCCUUGACUUUGGGGUAACUUCAGGAAACUGGGGCUAAUACCGGAUAGGAGCUCCUGCUGCAUGGUGGGGGAUGGAAAGUUUCGGCGGUUGGGGAUGGACUCGCGGCUUAUCCGCUUGUUUGUGGGGUAGUGGCUUACCAAGGGUUUGACGGGUAGGCGGCCUGAGAGGGUGACCGGCCACAUUGGGCCUGCGAUACGGCGCAGACGCCUACGGGAGGCAGCAGUGGGGAGUAUUGCGCAAUGGGCGGAAGCCUGAUGCAGAAACGCCGCGUGCGGAAUGACGGCUUACGGGGUGUAAACCGCUUUCGCCUGUGACGAAGCGUGAGUGACGGUAAUGGGUAAGGAAGCACCGGCUAACUACGUG
rnacentral:rRNA from 1 species